UUGACACUUUCAUGGAAACCCAAAAAAAAGGAAGACCAAGACCUUUUUCACUAAUUUACAGCAAAUGGACUGAUUCAUUUUUUGGUUCAUAUACGUUUUGGGGAACUUUGGUGAUUUUUGAGCUAUUUGAGUGUAGAAUUGCACAGUCACGUCAGACGUUUAUCUAUGGAUGGAGAACCUCCAACAGUGCGAUUGAGCUCAUCUUCUAACACACGAUAUAGAUUUUAGUUAGCUUUCCAGUGCCACCAAUAUGAGGUCCAUCUGACGGUUAGAACAAAAGUUAUGCAUGUUUUACUGAAGAGUGGUAUGUGAGUACUCGCAAGAAGAAACUGUCGAAGAUUAGAAAGAGAGUUGAUCGACACUAUACCCUUAGUGUCGCACGACAUUGAUACCAGAAAAUGGGCCAAGUCUAUUUUAAAACAGACUUAGGCCAAUACUGCUCUUGGCCGACUUUAAACCCUACAUAUGUGUUUCUAAACAAUUGUUUAGGCUAAGUUUUUUUUAUUAAGGAGGGGUUAUUGGUAAA